rnacentral:rRNA from 1 species
AUUCCAGCUCCAAUAGCGUAUAUUAAAGUUGUUGCAGUUAAAAAGCUCGUAGUCGGAUUUUGGCAUCACGCCGAACUGUCUGCCGAUUGGUAAGUACGGUUUGGCGGGUGCUUCCUUCCGGAGGCUCGUUCCCUUCUUCAUUGUAGGGUUCGUUGGUUCCGGGUCUUUUACUUUGAAAAAAUUAGAGUGUUUAAAGCAGGCAGUUGCUAUGAAUACAUUAGCAUGGAAUAAUAAUCUAGGACUUCGGUUCUAUUUUGUUGGUUUCCAGUACUGAAGUAAUGAUUGAUAGGGAUAGUUGGGGGUGCUAGUAUUGAGCGGCCAGAGGUGAAAUUCUUGGAUUCGCUCAAGACUAACUUAUGCGAAAGCAUUCACCAAGGAUGUUUUCAUCA